ensembl:lncRNA
CUCUGUGGGAGCUUACUGAGGUUACCCUUGUUCCCUGCAGAAGAUGUUGAUGCUAAGGCCCAGUUCUUCAACUACUGGUUGGAUGCUUGCCUGGAGAACAUGCACAGAUGAGACCAGGAGCUUUCUGAGCAUGGAGUCCCAAGAUGCUGAACAUAUGUUGAUGAGAAGAACAAAUAUAGAUGGAUGUGGCAGGACCCUACUGACCUGGGACGAGGAGGCAGACGAAAGCCAUUUACAGAUGGCAGCAGCAGCAUGUGAGUAUGUGUGGGGUCUGAUCACUAUGCAUAGUCAUGCCCAACCCCCGAUGGUGGCAAAAUGCCAGGCAGGCAGCCGCAGGAUGCCGAUGGAGAAGACCAGCGGCCGUGGCCUGAAAGCUGCCCCAAGGUCCUCAGGUUCGCUGUGUCCCGGAUCCUCCCCCAGAGCGAAGGACAGCUGCCCACUCUGCUCCAACCACCCCCCCUUACGAGGGAGACUGGUGACACCUCCACCUGGAUACUCUCCACAAGGGGUGGCACCUCCACCUGGCAGACGAGGAGAAAUUAAAUUUUACAGUGCCUUGAUGCAAUUUCCACAUAACUGCAAAACGUAACACAGGCGUCUGAAUUACUGCAGGUAUGGCUGUAUUGCAUUCAUUAUUAAUAGGUUCUCAGCAUUCCAAGUGGCACUUUAAUUAGUGGCACAGCUUCAUGUGGGCUUUGCAAAAUAAUUACAGUUAGAUUAAGCGCCAUGUUGUACAACGAGCUAUUCCAUUUGUAUAACAGCUAUUUCAAAGCACCAAUUGCUAAAUCCAGAUAGGAAAAUCUUGUAGAGAUAACAAUACAUAUAACUAUGUUUCAGAAAUCUCCACAAAAGGUCUGUUUUAUAUUUGAAAAGUGGCUUAUAUUACAUUAAAACUCAGGAAACGGGAGAUAAGUGGCCCUUGUGAUCAUAUGGUAAAAUGAAUUCUAAGUGUGUGAGUGUUUGGUGUGCAAAUAAUUCAUUUGCAUUUAAUUUAUACGUGCUUUGUGUUUUUUUUUUUUUUUUAAUUCCACCAUGCAGCCUUCAGAUGAAGUCCUGAUCUAUUCGAUUCGAAGAAGCAGUGCUACGCACGCAAUUUUAUUUGUACAGUCCCUACAGCAGCCCGAAUGACUAGUUGCUCUCGCUCACCAGGAGAGAGCAAUUAUGCCGCUCAAAAGUAACCCUGUGACACGUUUAAAAAAUCAAACGACUAGAAACAAAUCUGAUAACGUCUUGUUUUUCGGCUCACUCCAGCUUUCGCUCUCGAAAAACUCUGACUUGCCGUUCCCCGUCUUCCUGGGUAUUUGAAUCUGCUGGCGUCUUGCUGCCAGUUUGAACCCAUUGUUGUUUUAGAUGGUUGGAUGAAACCGUAAGAGUGUACGGGGGGGGGGUCCUGGUCAGUGGACUUGGAUAUCAAUGGAGUGUAAAAAUGUGUUUAUGCCCAGAUUUCUGCAGUGAAAAAUGCAACACGUGAGCAAUGUGUCCUACAGGCCAGACUGAGCCAACGCUGCUUUUUCCUCUACUUAAGAUCCUAAACUGAUCUGUACAGAAACAAUGUUUGACAACUGGGUUCUGCUGCGCUGGUGUGGGUG